GUGGGGAAUUUUGGACAAUGGGCGCAAGCCUGAUCCAGCAAUGCCGCGUGCAGGAAGAAGGCCUUCGGGUUGUAAACUGCUUUUGUACGGAACGAAACGGUCCUGGUUAAUACCUGGGGCUAAUGACGGUACCGUAAGAAUAAGCACCGGCUAACUACGUGCCAGCAGCCGCGGUAAUACGUAGGGUGCAAGCGUUAAUCGGAAUUACUGGGCGUAAAGCGUGCGCAGGCGGUUUUGUAAGACAGACGUGAAAUCCCCGGGCUCAACCUGGGAAUGGCGUUUGUGACUGCAAAGCUGGAGUGCGGCAGAGGGGGAUGGAAUUCCGCGUGUAGCAGUGAAAUGCGUAGAUAUGCGGAGGAACACCGAUGGCGAAGGCAAUCCCCUGGGCCUGCACUGACGCUCAUGCACGAAAGCGUGGGGAGCAAACAGGAUUAGAAACCCGGGUAGUCC
rnacentral:rRNA from 1 species